AACUUUGCACAGUGGCAGUAUUGUAGCCGAUGAGGUUUAUGUGAGGUGCGAUUAUUGCUAAUUAGAAUAAAAGAGUUAUUCGCAGUGAAUGUAAUUUUCCUAAAACCAUAAA
rnacentral:snRNA from 14 species